UCUCUCCCUCUCUGUUCCCUUCCCUGCGCACCCCAACCCCAUCUUCCCCACAUGCCCUAACUCUCAAUCGUCGGGAGGAACCCCAAACUGGUUCGAUCGCUGGAGCUCUCGCCAUUGCAAUCACCUAUUCAACAGGCCGUGCCGGAGGAAACAUCCAGCUCGCUGUCCCAUCCACCGAGCGACAAAAAGUUUCCACCUAUUCCCUUCUUCUUCCUUCCCCAUUUAUAUAAACCCUCUCCCUUUCAUUCUCUUCCCCUCACGUCAUUCCAGUACUCAUAACGAUGUAUAAACAACACACUUUUCACCCAUCGAACAAGUAGUGCUGCCUCAGCCCCUUAGCUUGUUUGAUUGAUUCAAAGGCCAGAAUGAAAGUAAACAAAAAGUUGGUGGUUUUGAAAGCAUUGGUUAAAGGGAGAUUAAAAUUUCCCCUUAUGCUCUCUGUGGUAUAUUGUUUCCUUUUUUAUCUUUCUUAUAUUUUUUGUUCUUUCAUUUUUUUCCUCUGCUAUCUUUGUCGGUGGGCUUCUUGUGCUUUUGGAUGAGGAAUAAUGGGGAGGAAGAAGAAGGGGCUUAAUGCAUUUGGUCUUUUGCGAUGUGGGUUGGGCCGUUGGGGACUGCUCGGUGCUUCUUGGGUACAAACAAGUUUGAAGAUGGAAGAUCAAAGUUAUAUACAAAAGAUAGGAGAAAUAUGAAGGUCUGGGAAUUACAUUUACAUGGGUAAUGCUUCAAUACCAAACAUUGUGGAGAAGUUGGAGAUGUAAAUUAAGAAAAGUAUGCAAGCAAUAUAAAACAUUGGACAAUUGUAUGAGACAUUGCAAGGUGAUGAUCCCAGAUGAUCAAUGGAGGUGCUUGAUCUGACAGUUUGAAAGUAGGCAAUGAAAGGCUCGGAUCAAUGAAGUGAUGUCUAAAUUGCCUGAAGGAACUAGAGGUGAACCAUCUCAAAAUGAUGUUCCUCACAAGCUAUGGGGCCAGAAAAAUACGGACGAGCGCAUACAUAUGGGAUGGGAGUCAAACCACCUUGAGAUUUUUGGUGCAGUUCCUAGCCGAACAAAACUGAUGGUGCAAAAUGUCAUUUUGCGUGGAGAAGUAGAAGAUCUACACAAUAAGGAUGGUAUGGAGUGGAGUGGAUUUAUGAGAGAUCAAACCUCAAACUCAAAGUACAACCUGGACGUGGGAUGAUCUUGAAGGGUGGCUGCUUGAUCUGAAUUUGUUUAGUUCAAACCUCAAAACAAACAUUAUUCUUUUCUUUUACUAAUGAUUGGUUGAACAGGGAAAUUUGCAGUUCUUGCUGCAAGAUGAAUUCUUUAGAUUUUCUUCUCUUUCUAAGGCUUGUACUUAGUGACUGGUUCUUCCCAUGUUUGUUAUCAAGUUUUUUAUUUUGCA